AUACGGAGGAUGCGAGCGUUAUCCGGAUUUAUUGGGUUUAAAGGGUGCGUAGGCGGCCUUGUAAGUCAGCGGUGAAAUUUUGCAGCUUAACUGUAAAAGUGCCGUUGAUACUGUGAGGCUAGGAUUUGGUUGCUGUGGGUGGAAUGUGUGGUGUAGCGGUGAAAUGCUUAGAGAUCACACAGAAUAUCGAUUGCGAAGGCAGCUCACAAAGCCAAGAUUGACGCUGAGGCACGAAAGUGUGGGGAUCAAACAGGAUUAGAUACCCUGGUAGCCCAUACUGUAAACGAUGAUAACUCGCUGUCGGCGAUAUACAGUCGGUGGCCAAGCGAAAGCGAUAAGUUAUCCACCUGGGGAGUACGACCGCAAGGUUGAAACUCAAAUGAAUUGACGGGG
rnacentral:rRNA from 1 species